CUAAAGAUCCAACUCACGUGCUCUCAGCACAAUCUGAUGCAAAAACCACAAUCUGGGUCCACCGUCAAUCUCGACGGCACCGGACAAUCCGGAACAGCCUAAACACUGCUGUAAAAAUAAGCUCGGUAUCUCAGCAUGAGCGUAAAUGUAUUCUAAACUAUCCUGAGUAUCCACCACUCUCAAACUGCGGCGAUACAAACAACUACGACUCCUAAGCUAAAUCUGAUAGUUUAAGCAUAUGAGAGGAUAGGAUCGCUGGUUUUCUUCUAAGUCAAAUUCAAGUCCAACAUGUAUCAUUUAUCUAUCUCACUAUAGCAUGCUCCAAAUUCAGAUUUCAUUUAACAAAUAAUCGAUGAAUUCGAGCUAUAAUAUGAUAAGCAAAGAUUGAAACUAUAUAUGUUGACUAUUCAUACACUUAGGAGGAAUGUCCGAUAAUUAA
rnacentral:lncRNA from 1 species